AUACUUCAGAAAUCAGAAUGUGCUAGCUUGCAUAUUCUGCAUAGAUUAUCUACCUUGGAGUCAUGAAACACACAUUCUAAGCUUUUGUCAUUCUUAUCUUCAGGUAAACCUUGAAAAGCCCGAACACACCUCACUUUGAUUGUGGAGGUGGUAAUUGCCUUGCUGAGAUUGUUAACACAGGUACCUAUUUCAACUAUCAAUAAUGCAGUAGUGAAAUACUACAAUGAAAGAUACAAAGAAAUGUAUAAUGCAUCAAAAUGGGAGAUAUCAUUGACAGAAAAGGGAGGGUAUAAUGCAACAAAAUGGGAGAUAUCAUUGACAGAAAAGGGAGGGCAAGAACAUCUUUUACCAAAAUGUUGCAUAAACCUGAAUCUGAAUUCUAUUAAAGAUAAAAGAUGGUGAGAAUGAAGAUCAAAGGAAAUGAGGACCAAAAAAUAAGGCAAAGAACAUAAGAUGGCAUAUCAUCAAAGGUAUACCAAAAAAAUAAACAACUCCUACUGACAGAAGAGCCGCAUCUAACCUUGAAAAAGGAAGGGAGAGAAGAAUGCUGCAACCAAUAAAAUAGAUUUGUGUCUUUGUGUAGGUGAAGGAGAGAGAAUAUUAGGUUUCAUCAUCACACAAAGAAGAAAGAAAGAAGAUGUGUGUUAGAUCCGUUUAUAUUAUACACUCUACAUCGAGGAAAAAGAGAAAAGCAAGAAGAAACAACACAAAAUAGGUGAAGGAGAGAAUAAUAGAGGCAAUCAUUACACAAAGAAGAAACAGAGAAGAUACAUGCUUAAUCCGUUUAUAUUCUACCCUAUACAACGUGGAGAAGAGAAAAGGAAGAAGAAAAAACAAAAAAUAGAAAAUCUUAACCAAAUAACACACCUAUCUUUUGUGGAAAAUAGAAGAACAUGAAGAAUAAUUUGCAAUUAUUUGGUUAUAGUACAAAUAAUUACAUUGAAGCUUGAACACUAUAUCAUUACACACAAAACUGUGCAAAACAGAAGAGGAAGAAAAAGCAAAAAAUAGGAUAUUUGAAUCUUAAUCUUACUGGAAAAAUAUGAACAACCAAAAACAGGUAAUUGAAGCAUUGGAAUUUGCAGAAUAUAUGUAACUCAAUCACAUUUGAAAAGUUUGAUAUAUUUGAUAGAUUGCACAAAAUAGGUUUGAGGAUUAAUAAUUCAAACAUA